rnacentral:misc_RNA from 1 species
GAAAUGCGAUAAGUAGUGUGAAUUGCAGAAUUCAGUGAAUCAUCGAAUCUUUGAACGCACAUUGCGCCCGCCAGCACUCUGGCGGGCAUGCCUGUUCGAGCGUCAUUUCAACCCUCAGAACCCCUUGCGGGAUCUGGCGUUGGGGAUUGGCAUCCAGCCAGCCCCGAAAUCUAGUGGCGGUCCCUCCGCGACCUCCCCUGUGCAGUAGCGAUACCUCGCAGCGGGACAGCGGUCUGACCACGCCGUAAAACCCCCAACUUCUCAAGGUUGACCUCGAAUCAGGUAGGAAUACCCGCUGAACUUAGGC